GUUUGUUGCCAUGGGCGUAUGGUGGAUGCCUUGGCAGGCAGUACCGAUGAAGGACGUGUGGGGCCGCGAUAGGCCUCGGGGAGCCGCCGACAGGGCUUUGAUCCGAGGGUGUCCGAAUGGGGUAACCCGCCGGCUGUUGUGGGCCGGCACCGCAGGGUUUUGUGCGGGGGGUACGCAGGGAAGUGAAACAUCUCAGUACCUGCAGGAAAGGAUACUCCGUGAGUAGUGGCGAGCGAAAGCGGAUGAUGGCUAAACCGGUGCCGUGUGAUACCCGUCGGGGGUUGCGGUAUCGGUGUCGUGGGAGCGGCCGUGCCGGUGCCGACGCGCCGGCCGCCAGUUGGAGAAAACCGUGUGUGAGGCGAACCGGGUUGGAUACCGGGCCGUAGAGGGUGAUGGCCCCGUAGCCGAACGCGCAUGGUCUGGUGGUAGCCGUGUCCCGAGUAGCGCGGGCCUCGUGGAAUCCCGUGUGAAUCCGCCCAGACCGUUGGGUAAGCCUGAGUAUACCUGUCUGACCGAUAGUGUACCAGUACCGUGAGGGAAAGGUGAAAAGCACCCCGGGAGGGGAGUGAAAGAGUUCCUGAAACCGUGCGCCUACGAACCGUCGGAGCCCCCGUGUGGGGUGACGGCGUGCCUAUCGAAAAAUGAGUCUGCGAGUCAGUGGCAUGUGGCGAGCCUAAGCCGUUGGGGUGGAGGCGUAGCGAAAGCGAGUCCGAAUAGGGCGUUUUGAGUCGCGUGUCCUGGACCCGAAGCGGGAUGAUCUAGCCCUGGGCAGGUUGAAGCGCGGGUAAGACCGCGUGGAGGACCGCACCCACUUAGGUUGAAAACUGAGGGGAUGACCUGGGGUUAGGGGUGAAAGGCCAAUCAAAUUCCGUGAUAGCUGGUUCUCUCCGAAAUGCAUUUAGGUGCAGCGUUGGUUGAUUGCGCGCAGGGGGUAGAGCGACUGGAUGCUUGCGGGCCCGUACCGGGUACCAAUAGCAACCAAACUCCGAAUACCUGUCGUGUGUAUGCCAGCAGUGAGUCGGCGGGGGAUAAGCUCCGUCGUCGAGGGGGAGACAGCCCUGACCGUCGUCUAAGGUCCCCAAGCGCGUGCUAAGUGGGAAAGGAUGUGGAGUCGCAUAGACAGCCAGGAGGUUGGCUCAGAAGCAGCCAUCCUUGAAAGAGUGCGUAACAGCUCACUGGUCUAGUGGUUCCGCGCCGACAAUGUAGCGGGGCUCAAGCACGCCACCGAAGACGCGGCAACAACCAUAUUGGUUGUUGGGUAGGAGAGCGUCCCAUUCUGGGUUGAAGCCGCGGAGUGAUCCUGUGGUGGACCGUAUGGGAGUGAGAAUGCAGACAUGAGUAGCGAGAGCAAGGUGAGGAUCCUUGCCGCUGGAUGACCAAGGGUUCCAGGGCCACGUUCGUCGUCCCUGGGUGAGUCGGGUCCUAAGGCGAGGCCGACAGGCGUAGUCGAAUGGAUGAACGGGUUGAUAUUCCCGUACCGGCCCUUUGACCGAUCAACGGCCCCCUGGCCGAACACACGUUUCCGUGUUGGUUCCCAUGCCCUUCGGGGUGUGGGGCGAUGCAUGGGUCUGUGUGGGGUGCCUUGGGGUCGAGCGCGUGGAGUGACGCGGACGGGUAGCCGGCCGGGGAGGUGGUUUUCCCUGGUCAAGCGUGUGGCCCCGCCCCCAGGCAAAUCCGGGGGCAUCAUGGGGUGAGGCGUGAUGAUGGGGGCCCUUAGGGCCCGAUAUCCGGUGAUCCCGUCGGCCGAGAAAAGCUUCGGCGUGAGGUCUUGGGCCGCUCGUACCCCAAACCGACACAGGUGGUCAGGUAGAGUAUACCAAAGCGAGCGAGCGAAUCCUGGUCAAGGAACUCGGCAAACCGCUCCCGUGCCUUCGGCAUAAGGGAGACCCCCCGCGGUGACGGGCCCUCGCGGCCCUCGAGCGGUGGGGGGUGGCACAAGCCAGGGGGUAGCGACUGUUUACCAAAAACACAGGUGCAUGCCAAGACGCAAGUCGCCGUAUAUGCACUGACGCCUGCCCGGUGCCGGAAGGUUAAGAGGAUCCAUCAGCGCGGCUUGCCGCGCGAAGUGGUGAAUUCAAGCCCCGGUAAACGGCGGUGGUAACUAUAACCAUCCUAAGGUAGCGAAAUUCCUUGUCGGGUAAGUUCCGACCUGCACGAAUGGCGUAACGACUUCCCCGCUGUCUCGACCAGGAGCUCGGCGAAAUUGCAGUACGAGUAAAGAUGCUCGUUAAGCGCAGAAGGACGAAAAGACCCCGGGACCUUUACUAUACCUUGGUAUUGGCAUCAGGUGCGGAUUGUGUAGCAUAGGCGGGAGACUGUGAAGCACGCACGCCAGUGUGUGUGGAGUCGACAGGUGAAAUACCGCUCUGUCCCCAUCUGAUGCCUAACCCGGACAAGUGAGCCUUGUCGGGGACAGUGCCUGGCGGGUAGUUUAACUGGGGCGGUUGCCUCCCAAAGAGUAACGGAGGCGCUCAAAGGUCCGCUCGGCCCGGUUGGCAAUCGGGUGUCGAGUGUAAUCGCACAAGCGGGCUUGACUGCGAGAUCGACGGAUCGAGCAGGGACGAAAGUCGGAGAUAGUGAUCCGGUGCCGGCGUACGGACGCGGCAUCGCUCAACGGAUAAAAGGUACCCCGGGGAUAACAGGCUGAUCAUUCCCAAGAGUCCAUAUCGACGGGAUGGUUUGGCACCUCGAUGUCGGCUCGUCGCAUCCUGGGGCUGGAGCAGGUCCCAAGGGUUCGGCUGUUCGCCGAUUAAAGCGGCACGCGAGCUGGGUUCAGAACGUCGUGAGACAGUUUGGUCUCUAUCCUCUGCGCUCGUUGGAAUCCUGAGGAGGCCUGCCCAUAGUACGAGAGGACCUGGGUGGACGAACCUCUGGUAUGCCAGUUGUCGCGCCAGCGGCAUGGCUGGUUGGCCACGUUCGGGAGGGAUAACCGCUGAAAGCAUCUAAGCGGGAAGCCCGCUCCAAGAUAAGGAUUCCUGACCCCCCUUCGAGGGGGUGAAAGACCCCAGGUAGAACACCUGGUCGAUAGACCGGACGUGGAAGCCGCGCGAGCGGUGGAGCUGACCGGCACUAACGGUCGAAACACAAACACAC
rnacentral:rRNA from 1 species